GUUUAAUUUUCUGCAGAAUUAAGCCUAAAAAAAAAAACCAAAUCAGACACCUAACCCCCCCUCAUUAACAAAUCAAAGUAAAAAAAGAACUAAAGUCUCUCAGACGAACCCUAGAUCAACACCCAAGCCACCGAUUCCCAUCCCCCAGGCAACAACCUGCCCCUUUAGGCCCAGAAGAUGAUUUUUCAGCCUCAAGAUCUCCUCCUAGCUUUGACUUCAACAAAGCAGAAGGAGGUUUACGACGUAUUUCCCAGGUACGGGGUGUGCUGGUGCUCGGGUACAGGAGCUAGCGUACGGAGGCGCGCGUGGCUGCUGAAACACUGGAGCGUACGGAGGCGCUGGAGGGGCUCGGCUGCUAGGGCUAGGGUUUGCUAAAAUUUGGUUUAGUCUUUUGGGCCGUUUGGGCCCGUAUUUUGGGUUAAGGAUUUGUUAAUUUGGUUUUAGGGUCUUGAAUGUUGGGCUUGUAUAGUGUAUUUGGGUUGUUUUGUACUAGGGACUUGGACUGUGGACAUCCUUUUGGUUUACUUUUCUCAUUUUUUUUUGUGUGUUUUUAAACUGUUUAUUUUUAGUGCUAGGCCCGGGCUAAAAUUGGUCAUUACAGACAUGAUGAUCAAGAGUGUUCAUCGCUCUAGGUGUGACCUGGAUUCGAGUCACGCUAGUCACUAUUUGUAAUUCACAAAAAGAAAAUUCAUUAUAACGAUGUCGUAAAUAUUUUUGAGAA